GCUGUAAUGUCAGAGUAGUAUACACAUGGAAAACCUUACCUAGAUGGAUUUAAUCACAUUAUUUUUGGUGUUUAUUCUUUGUUUUGUGGACUUUACUAUUCCCAAUAGGAACGAUGACAUGUGGGAAGCACUGUCGUGUAAGUACAACAUCAAUUGGAAUCUAAUUGGAUCAAUUAAAACUAUUAAAAACAAUCUAUUUACAUCAGGAAAUUUUAACUACUGUUUUGUGAUUCUGUCCCCAAUAAAAUGAAAAUAAAAUUCAG
rnacentral:lncRNA from 1 species